AACAGCUCAAAUUUGAAAUCUGGCCCUCGGGUCCGAGUUGUAAUUUGUAGAGGAUGCUUUUGGUGCGGUGCCUUCCGAGUUCCCUGGAACGGGACGCCUUAGAGGGUGAGAGCCCCGUACGGUUGGACGCCUAGCCUCUGUAAAGCUCCUUCGACGAGUCGAGUAGUUUGGGAAUGCUGCUCUAAAUGGGAGGUAUAUUUCUUCUAAAGCUAAAUACUGGCCAGAGACCGAUAGCGCACAAGUAGAGUGAUCGAAAGAUGAAAAGCACUUUGAAAAGAGGGUUAAAUAGCACGUGAAAUUGUUGAAAGGGAAGCGUUUAUCACCAGACUUUUUCUAGGGGGAUCAUCCGGUGUUCUCACCGGUGCACUUCCCCUAGUUGAGGCCAGCAUCGGUUUUCGGAGGGGGAUAAAAGUUUCGGGAAUGUGACUCCCCCGGGAGUGUUAUAGCCCGUUACAUAAUACCCUUCUGGGGACCGAGGUUCGCGCAUCUGCAAGGAUGCUGGCAUAAUGGUGAUCAACGACCCGUCUUGAAACACGGACCAAGGAGUCGAACAUUUAUGCGAGUGUUUGGGUGUCAAACCCUCACGCGUAAUGAAAGUGAACGGAGGUGAGAGCCCUUACGGGUGCAUCAUCGACCGAUCCUGAUGUCUUCGGAUGGAUUUGAGUAAGAGCAUAACUGUUCGGACCCGAAAGAUGGUGAACUAUGCGUGGAUAGGGUGAAGCCAGGAGAAAUCCUGGUGGAGGCUCGCAGCGGCUCUGACGUGCAAAUCGAUCGUCAAAUCUGCGCAUGGGGGCGAAAGACUAAUCGAACCAUCUAGUAGCUGGUUACCGCCGAAGUUUCCCUCAGGGUAGCAGUGUUGUAUUCAGUUUUAUGAGGUAAAGCGAGUGAUUAGGGACUCGGGGGCGCUAUAUUGCCUUCAUCCAUUCUCAAACUUUAAAUAUGUAAGAAGCCCUUGUCGCUUAAUUGGACGUGGGCAUUCGAAUGUAUCAACACUAGUGGGCCAUUUUUGGUAAGCAGAACUGGCGAUGCGGGAUGAACCGAACGCGAGGUUAAGGUGCCAGAGUAGACGCUCAUCAGACACCACAAAAGGUGUUAGUACAUCUUGACAGCAGGACGGUGGCCAUGGAAGUCGGAAUCCGCUAAGGACUGUGUAACAACUCACCUGCCGAAUGUACUAGCCCUGAAAAUGGAUGGCGCUCAAGCGUCUCACCCAUACCUCGCCCUCA
rnacentral:rRNA from 1 species